ACAAUAAUGUAUCUAAAAAAUUAUUUUUCAUCUGGGAUUGUUUUAAUCCACAACUUUGAGAACUGUUUAAUACUUAGUUAUUUAGUCAAGUUUGAAUCUUAUUUUGACAGCAUUUAAGGGGCUUAGGAGGGGGAAAGAGAAACUGAGUGUGGAAGAGGCUCUUGAAUUAAAAAUGUAUAAAGGUUAAACAUCAAACACUCAUGACUGUCAUCAUAAUAAUUCUAAAUUGCAGCUGACUAUGAACAUUGAUCUCUUUCUCCAAUAAAUCUUAACCUCCUUGUCAUAUUUUCUUCUUCUGUUGACCUGAUUUUCAUUUUC
rnacentral:lncRNA from 1 species